rnacentral:rRNA from 1 species
AGCGAACGCUGGCGGCAGGCCUAACACAUGCAAGUCGAACGAACCCUUCGGAGUUAGUGGCGGACGGGUGAGUAACACGUGGGAACGUGCCCUUUGGUUCGGAAUAACUCAGGGAAAGUUGUGCUAAUACCGAAUGUGCUCUUCGGGGGAAAGAUUUAUCGCCAUUAGAGCGGCCCGCGUCUGAUUAGCUAGUUGGUGAGGUAACGGCUCACCAAGGCGACGAUCAAUAGCUGGUCUGAGAGGAUGACCAGCCACACUGGGACUGAGACACGGCCCAGACUCCUACGGGAGGCAGCAGUGGGGAAUCUUGCGCAAUGGGCGAAAGCCUGACGCAGCCAUGCCGCGUGAAUGAUGAAGGUCUUAGGAUUGUAAAAUUCUUUCACCGGGGACGAUAAUGACGGUACCCGGAGAAGAAGCCCCGGCUAACUUCGUG